rnacentral:tRNA from 2 species
GGCAACUUAACUCAGUAGGUAGAGCGUUGGUAUGAAGUACCAAGUUAGUGGUGGUUCGAUUCCACCAGUUGCCG